rnacentral:rRNA from 1 species
CCCGCACAAGCGUGGAUGAUGUGGAUUAAUUCGAUGCAACGCGAAAACCUUACACCUUGACAUGUCCGGAAUCCUGCAGAGAUGCGGGAGUGCCCGUAAAGGGAAUCGGAACACAGGUGCUGCAUGGCUGUCGUCAGCUCGUGUCGUGAGAUGUUGGGUUAAGUCCCGCAACGAGCGCAACCCUUAUCAUUAGUUGCUACGCAAGGGCACUCUAAUGAGACUGCCGGUGACAACCGGAGAAGUGGGGAUGACGUCAAGUCCUCAUGGCCCUUAUGGGUAGGGCUUCACACGUCAUACAAUGGUCGGUACAGAGGGUUGCCAAGCCGCGAGGUGGAGCCAAUCCCAGAAAGCCGAUCGUAGUCCGGAUUGUUCUCUGCAACUCGAGAGCAUGAAGUCGGAAUCGCUAGUAAUCGCGGAUCAGCAUGUCGCGGUGAAUACGUUCCCGGGUCUU